CAUUCAUGAGAGCGAGGAAGCGAAACUCAGAGAGCCAGAGGAGCUGCAGAGCCGGUACCGUCCGGGCUCGGUUCUCAUGAGAACCCAACAUGGCCGCCCACAAACUGUCCCAUGAGCCUCUCUGACAAAAUGACUUAAAGGUGGCGGACCCUGCCACCUUUCUAACAGUGUUCUGGGACCUGGUUCUCCUCUGAGAACAGCUUCACUCAUGGAAGAACUUCCUCGCUUCCUUUCCUCUCCUCAUGACUCAUCGGUUCUGAGGAAGUGGGUCGAGGUUUGAAGCAUCACAACUCCUGAGACGUGACCCGUUUUAAAGUCCAGAAGAGCCGCACGAUUCAAAUGUUUUAUCCCCAUUCAAGCUAGCUGGGCGCUAAACAGGAAGUUAGCGGGCGGAGGCGUGUGCACACCUGUGUGUUCACCUUCAUGUGGCAGCAGUCGUUAUUCAAGAGAUGAGAUUUAUUUAUUUAUUAACAUUUAUUUCUGAUUCUUGGUUCGUUUUCUUUUCAGUGAUUCUGUAUUUAUUUCUUGUCGCUGCCUCCUGAACCUCGUACGUAACAGAAGUCCGCAGCACUAAGUGACUGAUAUCUGCGGUUCUGUUGGGUUGUUACGGUUCUGAAGAACGGGCCGGCUGAGAUUACAUGAGACCGAUCGUCCACCUGCCCUUUGAGCAAAUUGUCUGUCUGGCAGCUUCCCUCAUCUCUCUCUCUCUCUCUCACCUCCACUUCCUCUGACGGUUUGUGUGUCCGUGUGUGUUUCCCGGAAACAUUGGAGACGAGAGUGCCCCCCUGCAAAUAAACGGUCAUCGCCAUGACAACCACGCUACAAGCUGGAACGGGAUGAUGUCGAUCAUGGCAACGGUGGCGAGCGGCCAGACCGACAGCCCGGCUCCACCCCAGGGGCGAGCCGACGUGUGGACUCAGGGGUUUGAUACCAGAGAGUGAGUACCGGUUUGUGUUUCUGUCCACUGACAGCAACUCAGGCAGCACCGUGUCAGCCAUUUUCCUCUCCACAACAAGCCUUCACACAGGAGCAACAGAAGACCUUUGUUGGGAUCAAAUCUGUGUAACUAUCUGUGAUUUAGGGACGAGAUCCAGAACCACCUCUCCACCCUCCAGAAACACCCUGUUCAUGACAAAGUGAGGCGGACUGUACCUUUAAAGGAACAGUCUGACAUUCUGGGAAACGCUCAGUUCAGACGUCGAUAAGAUCGGACUGCUCUCAUGUCUGUGAGGUGAUUAUGGAAAGUCAGGAAAUAAGAGUGUCAUCAGGGUCACAACCUCAAACAUCCAGAAACACUGAGGAGCUCAAACACGUCCAGCUUUCUGUUGUUGUUGUUAAAUAGAUAAACAGAAAAUAUACCAUAAGUCAUCUGACAAGAGAGUGAACAUAUAAAUAUACUGAUGAGAACUGAAACUCCAAACCUGUGAUGUCAUCAGGCUGCAGAGUCUCAGAACGCUCCGAAUCUUUCAUCACGUUUUAAUCUGCAUGUGGAUCAGAUAUUUAUAAUUUAACUCAAUGGUGAAAAGUUUCCCUCAGAACGGAUCCUCGGAAACGUUUUACUGAAAUCUGGGAACGAUGUUUGGAAAUAUUACGCCUGGAAACACGACCUGUUUGGCAGAAGGGAACAAUGAACGACGAGCAAAACAAAUAUGCAAUCAGCAAAAUGCAGCCAGAAUGAAACAGAUUAAUCAAACUGAUCCUGAGACGAAGAUCAACACGACCGUCGGUGACGUCGGCUGUCGAUGUUUUAAUGAACCUGCAGGUCGACGUCGAUGAUGUUCGCUCACUUCCUUGUUCUGUUUCCUCCGAGAGGAGAGAUACAAACACUCUGAUUCUCUUUGAUACAGUCAGCCCUGAAAUGUAUGAAAACUGUUGGGAAAAGAUGUUUGUACCAAAGCAGUGGAGUCAGCCAGAGGUAAACUGCCAGCCUGGACUCAUUCAUGUAGAAGUUAUUCAAGUCAUUUUACUGGUGUAUGUUUAAACUUCUUUAUCUUCCUCUUCAGCUCAUGUCCACAGACCUUCAGCCGGAGUGUCGGAGCUCGUCACAGGUUCGUCUCCGAGCAUCAUCCGUAAACUGUCCACGCUCCAGUUUGUAUUUUCAGGAAACUGACACGACAACUCUUCCUCUUUUCAACUCACAGGCUGACAUUUGCAGGAGAAGUCAGAUGUUUUUGAUGUUUCAGCUGAUGGGAUUUUUUUUCCUCUCUGGCUGUUUGUACGUGAGUGAAAAGGAUCUCUUCACAUUCACACUGUGUCCUUAUAAAACCUCCGUCUUCAGUGUUGGCUCCAACACAAAGUUUUUAAUCAAACCAAACGCAGCUCAGCUGAAGGUGUUCCAGUUGGGAGCGCUCCAAAACCUCACUGGUUUGUGCAGGACGGGCGGAGACAGAGCAUUCAUUGUGCUGACCGGACAGACGCAUCGAUUUAACACGUGCUAACAGACAAAAGGAUGGAGAUGCAGCUCUACCUGACCGUCACCUGAGACACGAGGAGGCAGGAGACACGAGGAGG